ensembl:snRNA U2 U2 spliceosomal RNA
AUCGCUUCUGGGCCUUUUGGCUAAGAUCAAGUGUAGUAUCAAACUCCUCAGACAUUAUAUAUGCUGCUACUGUAUCUUUAAAAGCCCAAUGUAAUUUGGUGGAAAUGGCAGUCUGGCCAUCAGUCUGCUCCUAGAGUUUUAAUUGCUAUUCUAUGGAGUCAGUCUGGAAAGAAU